rnacentral:tRNA from 5 species
GGGGGUGUAGCUCAGUUGGUAGAGCGCUUGAAUGGCAUUCAAGAGGUCAGGAGUUCAACUCUCCUCACCUCCACCU